rnacentral:misc_RNA from 1 species
CCGAGUUUACAACUCCCAAACCCCUGUGAACCUUACCGCAAGUUGCUUCGGCGGCCACGCCCCGGCGCCCCCGUGCCCGGACCCAGGCGCCCGCCGGAGACCCCCAAACCAUCGUGUAUCACAUUAGUAUCUUCUGAGUGGCACAAGCAAAUAAAUCA